CUCAUAGGAUGUGGCCUUUCCUUUAGAAAAUGCCACAGACUUCUGGCUCGUGUCUUAAAAAAAAGAGUGACUUUCUAACAUAUAUUCAGGUAAGUUUCUACAUUUGUUCCUCAGAUUUUAAAAGCCUAAUUUCCGAAGCUGACUUCUCAUUCUGAAGUCACUGGGCGUGCUCGAGUGUGUCCUCUGCGCCGCCCCGACGCGCCUCUGUGGAGCCGACGGAUGCCAUCAACAGUGGGCCCCGAGACUGCGGGCAAGCGACAGGGCCGGCUUCAAGGGAGCACCUUCAAAGACAACAAUCCUACCAGAACCAGGGUCCAUUGCAUCCCCGCUAAGAUCCUAUCUGCACCUCAGAUGGCAUGGGAUGCCUGCUAAAAUCUUAUUUCUUUUCCAUUCAGAAAGCAAAGAUCAAGG
rnacentral:lncRNA from 12 species